UUGUGGGAAAGGUUGUAUUGUCGCUCAGACAGCCAGGAGGUUGGCUUAGAAGCAGCCAUCCUUUAAAGAGUGCGUAAUAGCUCACUGGUCGAGCGAUGGUGCGCCGAAAAUAUAACGGGGCUCAAGUUUGCCACCGAAGCUAUGGACUCACCCGCAAGGGCUGAGUGGUAGAGGAGCAUUCUCUCAGCGGUGAAGGUUGACCGACAAGGACAGCUGGAGCGGAGAGAAGAGAUUAUGCAGGCAUAAGUAGCGAUUAAUGAUGUGAGAAUCAUCAUCCCCGUAAACCUAAGGUUUCCUGGCCUAUGUUCGUCAGGUCAGGGUGAGUCGGACCCUAAGCCGAGGCCGAGAGGCGUAGGCGAUGGAAAACAGGUCAACAUUCCUGUACCACUGUCAUAGCGUUAUCAGCGAAGGGGGGACGCAGAAGGGUAGGCACCGCCGGGUCCCUGGAAUACCCGGUCCAAGCCCGUAGGCGGGUCUCGUCGGCAAAUCCGCGGGGCCGUUAACGCCGAGAGGUGAUGGGGAGGCCGUAAGGCCAUAAACGGGCUGAUCCCAUGCUGCCGAGAAAAGCCUCGUAGCGAGUUAUGAUAGUGUCCAUACCGCAAUCCGACAUAGGUAGGUGGGUAGAAUAUACCAAGGGGCGUGAGAGAACACUUCCUAAGGAACUUUGCAAUUUAGCCCCGUAACUUCGGGAGAAGGGGUGCCACGCGUAGGUGAGAUUGUACAAAUUAAGCCGAACGUGGUUGCAAUAAAGUGGCUCUAGCGACUGUUUACCAAAAACACAGGACUCUGCGAACACGCAAGUGGACGUAUAGGGUCUGACGCCUGCCCGGUGCUGGAAGGUUAACCGGAGGAGUUAGCCGCAAGGCAACGCUCUGAAGGGAAGCCCCAGUAAACGGCGGCCGUAACUAUAACGGUCCUAAGGUAGCGAAAUUCCUUGUCAGGUAAGUUCCGACCUGCAUGAAUGGCGUAACGACUGGAGCGCUGUCUCGGGAAGUGACUCAGCGAAUUUGUUGUUCCGGUGAAGAAGCCGGGUGCCCGCAACUAGACGGAAAGACCCUGUGCACCCUUACUACAACUUGACAUUGGAUGUUGGAAUGCGCUGUGUAGGAUAGGUGGGAGCCUGUGAAGCCUGGCCGCUAGGUCGGGUGGAGGCAACGUUGAAAUACCACCCUGAACGUUCUGAUACUCUAACUCGGCUCUGUAAUCCAGAGCGAAGACAGUGUCUGGCGGGUAGUUUGACUGGGGCGGUCGCCUCCCAAAAAGUAACGGAGGCGUUCAAAGGUUCCCUCAGGCUGGUCGGUAAUCAGCCGUCGAGUGCAAAGGCAUAAGGGAGCUUGACUGCGAGAGUGACAGCUCGAGCGGAGACGAAAGUCGGACUUAGUGAUCCGGUGGUUCUGCGUGGAAGGGCCAUCGCUCAACG
rnacentral:rRNA from 1 species